rnacentral:rRNA from 1 species
UGCAACUUUGAGCGGUGGAUCACUCGGCUCGUGCGUCGAUGAAGAGUGCAGCCAACUGUGUGAAUUACUGUGAACUGCAUACUGCUUUGAACAUCGACACCUUGAACGCAUAUUGCGGCCACGGGUUAGCCUGUGGCCACGCCUGUCCGAGGGUCGGCU